UCCCUGGCUGUCCAGUGGUUAAGACAUCACACUUCCAUUGCAAUGUGUCCAGGUUCAAUCCCUGGUCAGGGAA
rnacentral:tRNA from 1 species